rnacentral:rRNA from 1 species
UACGUAGGUGGCAAGCGUUAUCCGGAUUUACUGGGUGUAAAGGGCGUGUAGGCGGGACUGCAAGUCGGAUGUGAAAACCACGGGCUCAACCUGUGGCCUGCAUUUGAAACUGUAGUUCUUGAGUACUGGAGAGGCAGACGGAAUUCCUAGUGUAGCGGUGAAAUGCGUAGAUAUUAGGAGGAACACCAGUGGCGAAGGCGGUCUGCUGGACAGCAACUGACGCUGAGGCGCGAAAGCGUGGGGAGCAAACAGG